UACGUAGGGUGCAAGCGUUAAUCGGAAUUACUGGGCGUAAAGCGUGCGCAGGCGGUGAUGUAAGACAGGUGUGAAAUCCCCGGGCUUAACCUGGGAACUGCAUUUGUGACUGCAUCGCUGGAGUGCGGCAGAGGGGGAUGGAAUUCCGCGUGUAGCAGUGAAAUGCGUAGAUAUGUGGAGGAACACCGAUGGCGAAGGCAGCCCCCUGGGCUAACACUGACGCUCAGGCACGAAAGCGUGGGGAGCAAACAGG
rnacentral:rRNA from 1 species